GGUUUUUUGUUUUCAUCUGUCAUUUUCAAGUGUUCAUUAAGUGUUUGCUUUAAAACAGGUAAAAUUAUGAUGUAUAAAUACAAUAUAUACCAUCUUAAGUUCUAUUUGUGCUGUCAUUGAGCAAAAGAAUUAUUAGUUAGUUAAAAGUGACAAUUCUUAUUACCAAAUUACAAAUGUUUUAAACAUUAUCGUUAUUCAUUAUUCACCACACAGUGUCAUAAAUUACUGUGUUUGGUCAACAUUAUCAUCAUAUUGGUAUUGUUAAUCAAUGUUCAUACAAGCCAUCAAGCUCCAAUACAAUCAGAAUCUAAAUCCAUAAUAAAUUCUGAAACCAGUAUAAUAAAAUUCGAUAGUAUGGAUGAUUUGAAAAAAUAUUGCCAUUAUAUUUGCUGGAAACAUCCAUCAUAUGGUGGUGAAAUUUGUCAUUGUGAUUCGUCACCAAUGAUAAAAGCUCACCAUUCGUUAAACUGAAUCCCAAUAAUUAAAUGAUGUUCUACAACAGACUGCAUAAUACAUACACAAGAUGAAUGAAAUUGAUUUGUUUUCAUCAUCAUUUAUU